GACGAACGCUGGCGGCGUGCUUAACACAUGCAAGUCGAACGGAAAGGCCCUGCUUUUGUGGGGUGCUCGAGUGGCGAACGGGUGAGUAACACGUAAGUAACCUGCCCUUGACUUUGGGAUAACUUAAGGAAACUGGGGCUAAUACCGGAUAGGAGCUCAUGUUGCAGGGUGGGGGUUGGAAAGUUUCGGCGGUUGGGGAUGGACUCGCGGCUUAUCAGCUUGUUGGUGGGGUAGGGGCUUACCAAGGGUUUGACGGGUAGCCGGCCUGAGAGGGUGACCGGCCACAUUGGGACUGAGAUACGGCCCAGACUCCUACGGGAGGCAGCAGUGGGGAAUAUUGCACAAUGGGCGGAAGCCUGAUGCAGCAACGCCGCGUGCGGGAUGACGGCCUUCGGGUUGUAAACCGCUUUCGCCUGUGACGAAGCGUGAGUGACGGUAAUGGGUAAAGAAGCACCGGCUAACUACGUG
rnacentral:rRNA from 1 species